GAAGGGGGCUAGCGUUGCUCGGAAUUACUGGGCGUAAAGGGCGCGUAGGCGGACAGUUUAGUCAGAGGUGAAAGCCCAGGGCUCAACCUUGGAAUAGCCUUUGAUACUGGCUGUCUUGAGUUCGGGAGAGGUGAGUGGAAUGCCGAGUGUAGAGGUGAAAUUCGUAGAUAUUCGGCGGAACACCAGUGGCGAAGGCGACUCACUGGCCCGAUGCUGACGCUGAGGCGCGAAAGCGUGGGGAGCAAACAGGAUUAGAUACCCUGGUAGUCCACGCUGUAAACGAUGAGUGCUAGUUGUCGGCAUGCAUGCAUGUCGGUGACGCAGCUAACGCAUUAAGCACUCCGCCUGGGGAGUACGGUCGCAAGAUUA
rnacentral:rRNA from 1 species